GACGAACGCUGGCGGCGUGCUUAGCACAUGCAAGUCGAACGGAAAGGCCCUGCUUUUGUGGGGUGCUCGAGUGGCGAACGGGUGAGUAACACGUGAGUAACCUGCCCUUGACUUUGGGAUAACUUCAGGAAACUGGGGCUAAUACCGGAUAGGAGCUCCUGCUGCACGGUGGGGGUUGGAAAGUUUCGGCGGUUGGGGAUGGACUCGCGGCUUAUCAGCUUGUUGGUGGGGUAGUGGCUUACCAAGGCUUUGACGGGUAGCCGGCCUGAGAGGGUGACCGGCCACAUUGGGACUGAGAUACGGCCCAGACUCCUACGGGAGGCAGCAGUGGGGAAUAUUGCACAAUGGGCGGAAGCCUGAUGCAGCAACGCCGCGUGCGGGAUGACGGCCUUCGGGUUGUAAACCGCUUUCGCCUGUGACGAAGCGUGAGUGACGGUAAUGGGUAAAGAAGCACCGGCUAACUACGUG
rnacentral:rRNA from 1 species